GGGAGGGUGGCUCAGUGGUAGAGUGCUUGCCUUGCAUGCAUGAGGCCUUCCCU
rnacentral:tRNA from 1 species